UCGUCGCUAAGCGGAAGCGCGUGCACGGACGCUGCGGGUUGUGGCUAACAGGAGUAACAGGGGGCUCGUGCAAUUGGGGCUCGAGCGCUGGUUAUUCAGGGUAGUUAAAUUGAAUCCGAGACGAUAUUAAGGUUUAAUGGUUUAACUACCUGACACCUUUCCUGAAUGUCUGUAGUUGACAAAUUAAGUCUCAAGUUAUGAAGAGGAGAAAAGUUUUUAAUUCAGAAAUUGCAACAAGGAAAAGACCCAAAACUAAGACCUUCUCCAAGGAUGGUCAGUUGAUACCGCCAGUGAAAGGACUGUCCAAAGCUGAGAUUCAAGACCUGAUACAGAAAGAAAUUCUUGCAAAACUGAAACAGUCAGAUGAAAAGAUGGAUGAACUCAUUGGAAGGAUCCAAAAAAUUGAGUGCAUUUCCAGUUAUGAGGGAAGGCUUUACAAACUCCAAGCAGACAUUAAGAAGAUAAAAAGGAGGGGGCAGGCUGCUUUGGUAUACAUGAGAAAACUGCAACCAUCAGGGACAGAAAUGUCACCCGAAGAACUCAAUCAGAGGGCUUCCUUCAGCAGUAUGGGUUCCGAGCUAUCAUAUAUUAUGGAUUCAGCAGCCUCUGUGCAUGUGCCACCUGGGCCUGUUCCUUCUGAGACUACGGUCAGCAACCACACAGAUGUGGUCUCUUCCACAAGCAGAAAAAAUAGCCAUGUUCGGUUUUGACACUGAAGCACUCAUGCCCAGCAGGGACUGCCUUAUCACUUGCAUUGAUGGGCCAUGCACCUUGGAAAUGAUUAAGUGAGACUCAGUCCAACACUCAAGGCUGUGCAGAAGUCCAGGAAGAAGCUGAUGAGGUGAUAUUUUGCGGGGUCAUGUUGCCUAAGAAGAGCACUGUUGAAGGAUCUUGCCAGAAGCAGCUCAAAGGGAAUCCUACAGUUGAUCUCACAUCUGAAAGCAAAGAGGACACAGCGGCAGCACUGAACUCAAGCAGGGAAGGUAACGACACAGCAGUUGGCCCAUCCCAAAUGCAGGCCUUGAAAAAUACAGAAAGUAUUCAUUCAGGAGCAGGAAUGCUCAGACAAAGUACACCGGAACCUCCUCCUCGUUGGAGUCAUGCUGAGGGUGACUGGCUUUCACAACAGCCCCCCCUCCCUGCCAUUUCGCUUCCAAACUACCUGCUGUCUGAGGCCGGCGUAACACAGCCACCUCUGAAGCUGUGUCUGGGGGUGGAGGAAAUCAAAAGGCCUGAAGGUAUUGGCCUGCAGUGGACCGCUAUCCAGGCACAGCCCUGCACCCUUGCUGGACAAUUCUUCCCUCUACUUCACCCGGACGCACAGCUGCAGCUGCUGUUCGGAGUGGAGCAACAUAGAAGUGAUAAAAGUCAUACCUAUUCUCACGACCUAUAAGCUGACUUCCUUUGGCACAGGGCAUCGAUUCUACUCCACUAGUGUACCAAACAUAUAUGGACGCUACAGCCUAUAGGGUGAGAUUCAAAUAGUCAACAUUUGAAAUAGGGACAAGGGUCCCUGUUUUAAAAAAACAGGUUUACACCAUACUAUGAUAAUCUGUAAAUGAAUAAGUGUAGGAUUUUUGAUCGUAAGUACAUGAAUUGGAUCUCAGCUGCAACUUUAGAGUUCGGUGUUAUAUGAGAGUUGUAGUGUAAGCACAUGAAAAUUAUUUGAUAUGUUUAGCAUUUUUGUAUCCUGGGAUACUUUUCAGUUUAUGCUCUGAGGCAUUUGAAUGUCAUGCAAAUGUCAAACAGCUCAACGAUAAGAGAAUGAGCAACAUUGCAGUUGUAGAUUUUUUGGAUUUUUUUUUUUUUUUUUUUAAAAAGUACAUUGAAUUGGAACAAUCCACAUUAUACCAAAGGUGGUGUCCCAUAUCAUCCACUGAAGAUCCUGAGAGCUGGAGCUUAGUGAUUUUAUCACAUUGCAAAAACCCAGACUGGUGUUAGGCUGAUGUAACACAAAACCAUUUAAUUAGCAUACAAUAAAGAGAGCGAUGGCAUUUUGAAAUAAUACUUACAAAAAUAUCAACAGUGAAACAAUUCAUAGAAGUCUACAAAAUAAAUACAGUUCUGUUGUUUUCCCCAA